GUGGGGAAUAUUGGACAAUGGGCGAAAGCCUGAUCCAGCCAUGCCGCGUGUGUGAAGAAGGUCUUCGGAUUGUAAAGCACUUUAAGUUGGGAGGAAGGGCAGUAAGUUAAUACCUUGCUGUUUUGACGUUACCGACAGAAUAAGCACCGGCUAACUUCGUGCCAGCAGCCGCGGUAAUACGAAGGGUGCAAGCGUUAAUCGGAAUUACUGGGCGUAAAGCGCGCGUAGGUGGUUCGUUAAGUUGGAUGUGAAAGCCCCGGGCUCAACCUGGGAACUGCAUCCAAAACUGGCGAGCUAGAGUACGGUAGAGGGUGGUGGAAUUUCCUGUGUAGCGGUGAAAUGCGUAGAUAUAGGAAGGAACACCAGUGGCGAAGGCGACCACCUGGACUGAUACUGACACUGAGGUGCGAAAGCGUGGGGAGCAAACAGGAUUAGAUACCCGAGUAGUCC
rnacentral:rRNA from 1 species